CCUACGGGAGGCAGCAGUGGGGAAUCUUGCGCAAUGCGCGAAAGCGUGACGCAGCAACGCCGCGUGAGGGAAGACGGCCUUCGGGUUGUAAACCUCUUUCAGUUGGGACGAAGCCACGGCGGUUAAUACCCGUCUGUGGUGACGGUACCUUCAGAAGAAGCCCCGGCUAACUACGUGCCAGCAGCCGCGGUAAUACGUAGGGGGCAAGCGUUGUCCGGAAUCAUUGGGCGUAAAGCGCGUGUAGGCGGCUUGGUAAGUCCGCUCUGAAAGCCCGGGGCUCAACCCCGGGAGGCGGGUGGAUACUGUCAAGCUCGAGUCCGGAAGAGGCGAGUGGAAUUCCUGGUGUAGCGGUGAAAUGCGCAGAUAUCAGGAGGAACACCAAUGGCGAAGGCAGCUCGCUGGGACGUGACUGACGCUGAGACGCGAAAGCGUGGGGAGCAAACAGGAUUAGAUACCCUGGUAGUCCACGCCGUAAACGAUGGGCACUAGGUGUGGGAGGUGUCGACUCCUCCCGUGCCGAAGCUAACGCAUUAAGUGCCCCGCCUGGGGAGUACGGCCGCAAGGCUAAAACUCAAAUGAAUUGACGG
rnacentral:rRNA from 1 species